AAAUAUGACCUCAUCUAUAUUGAAAAUAUUUCGCUUGCCCUUGAUAUAAAGAUCAUCAUCCAUACUAUUCGUUUGAUCUUUUUAGGCAAAGGCAGGUAACAAGCACAACCCGUCAACUCUAAAUUAUAACACAUGAAAUAAACAUAAAAAUUAUCCCUGCCCGCCGUUGUCAUUCAGGCGGGGAGCUAACUUAUAGCAACAGCGAUGAUAAUUUUUAUUGUUUAUCCUAUUUGACUAAAAAACAACAAAAAAUAACAAAUGAAAAGACUUGCCUUUUUCAUUCUUACUCUUACAGCAAUUAAUGCAUCUGCGCAACAGAAUUACUGGCAGCAGGAAGUGCAUUAUACAAUUGAUGUUAAAUUGAAUGUUGCU
rnacentral:misc_RNA from 1 species